rnacentral:rRNA from 1 species
GGCUUGUUGAUAAUAAUUUCAAGUCCGACCUGCCCCCUGAGUAUUUAAAUGGCCGCAGUAUAUUGACUGUGCAAAGGUAGCAUAAUCGUUAGUUUCUUAAUUAGAAGCUUGUAUGAAAGGUUAAAUGAGAGAAUGACUGUCUCUAAAAAAGUUUAUUAAAAUUUUAUUUUUAAGUGAAAAAGCUUAAAUUUUUAUAGAAGACGAGAAGACCCUAUAGAGUUUAAUGGGUAAUAUAGAAGUGGGAUUUUUGGAUAAAAUAUCUAUUAUUAUAUAGUCUGUUUUGUUGGGGUGAUAGGAAAAUUAGUUUAACUUUUCUUUUAUUAUUAUACAAAUGAGUAGGUUUUUGAUCCUAUUUUUUAGAUUAUAAGAAAAAAUUACCUUAGGGAUAACAGCGUAAUUAUUUUUAGAGUUCUUAUCGAAAAUAUAGAUUGCGACCUCGAUGUUGGAUUAAAAUUUAACUGUUGGUGUAGAAGCUAGCGUGUAGGGUCUGUUCGACCUAUAAAAUUUUACAUGAUCUGAGUUUAAACCGGUGUAAG